UCGUUUUGAAAACGAUAACACCUCCAAGUCCCUGAUCUUACGCCGAAACCUUGAACUAUCAUUGUCUCUCAUCGCCAUAUAAAGGAGCCCUUUACUCAUUUCUGAUUGCACUUUCUCAGUCUCCCAUCUCAUUUCUUUAGCUCAUCUUUUCCCAUAGCCCAAUAACCCAUCUCCACCCCCACUCCACGCUGCUGCUAGACCAUAGUACGCUGCCGACAAUAAUCCGAAAUCCAGAUCUACAACAAAAUUGAAGUUCUGCCGACAUGUUUUGGGCUUGGAUGUUUAUAAUAAACAAACAGGGAGAUAUUCAUAAGAUGGCAAAGAUGUCUAAAUUAUUUAUUGGUGAUAUCUUGCAAAUACGACGUGUUUCUAAGCUUUAGUGGCACACAGACUCACCAAUCGCGGGAGAAACCCUAAAAACUGUCAUAUUCACCAUCCUCACACAAAAGAGGUUGGAGAUUUUGGAGAUCAGGUGGCAAUCUGGG